GCCUUGAUGAGUCCCAUUCAACUCCAGCCUGAAGAUCGUCUUCUUCUUCUUCUUCAAAACAAAGAUGCAAUUCAGCUGUGACUUAUGUCUUAAGACUACGACCGGCCUCCAGCCGUUCGUUGACCACGCCAAAUCAAAAGGACAUCGGAAGAACCUGGAGGCUGGUCGUCAGCCGGUUUAUAAAUGUAGCUGCGAUGACGAGUGGAUUGAUCUUGGGGCAAUGAAGGAUCACGUUACAACGUCCCGACACAUCAACAACUACCUUCAGAGGCUUAUCAACUUCUACGGGGUGUUGCCCAUUAACAGCGUGACGAAGAUGGCGCAAGCCCAGGCGGAGCUCCUGUGUUUAUAAUAAAAAGUUUAAAACCAA